ensembl:lncRNA
CAGUCAUUGUCUUAAUUAACUCAGGGAGUUUUUGGUUAUAGCUCCAAAACCUGAGUCUUCCGGCUUCAUGUUGCCCUAACCAGCAGUGUGACCUUCAGUGGGCCACUUAACCAGUUUAGGCCUCAAGGUUGGGAGUGAUGGGUGUGGAGGGGCAGGUUUACCCCUUCAAGGUUUUAUGUUCAAUGCAUCUGUUAUUCAAGUUUAUGGACAGGUUUCAACAGAGAAGCUUAGCAGCUUUUCUAUUAUUAAGACGUGGAUAUUUUUACUCAAGAGCACUCAACUUUUUUUGCAGUGUGUUAAUAUUGUAGAACACUUUGAAACCCAGCAUAGAAAAUGAAUGCACUGUCAAGGCUCACAUACAGUCUUUCAACUAUUUUGUUUGGGCUUUUAGUAUUUUUUUUUUAAUUUUGUAGUAAAAAAUUGCAGUUAAGACAUUCAAAUAUAUAUUUUUGAUUGAAAAGAAACUUACGCCAAUUAGCAUUUAUUUCAGUGAGGCAUGGAUCUCUAAAACGUGCGAUUUACACAUCUUCCCAUUGAUAUAGGCAUUAUUGUCUUGGAUACGUGGGAAUGUCUUUCAAGCUGUGAUUUCUCCUCUAUUUACACUAUCUUUUGUCGGGGGAAAUAGACUCAACAGUGUUUAGAUUAUCUCUGGACAUUUAAAAUUUCUCGCAAAGCCUACGUGUAAUGGUUGGCAUCUCAGAGAAUAAACAGGAAAUUAGCAAGGCAGAGGCUUUCCUUCAUCUUUUGCCAGGGCUGGACUCCUUGCUUCAUUUAUUUUCCUAGGACACCAGAAAUCUGAGAAUGGUAUUUAAGCUGACCGCGUUUCUUUUAUAGCUGGUCUGCAUGUGGUAAUCUACAGAUUGCCAGAUCUUUCUACUUUUCUCCAAAUUAGUAUAUUGGCAUUUGAAGGACCACGUUUACUUUUCAUCAAUGAAUGGUUUAAAGUUGAGCAGUGUGGCACUUCCAUCAUCCUAAAACAUUGCGUUUUUUUUCCCCCAAAUGAUGAAAGUAAUCCAUGUGUGUUGUAGAAAAUUUGGAAAAUUAUUGUAAUCUGAAAUCCCACAACCCACAGAUCACCACUUUUGGCAUUUUAGGGUCAUUCUCUGUGGAUCUACCGGUAUUCAUCAAGUAAUCAGUCAUUUUAUGUUAAACAAACUGUUUCCAAGGGGCGGCUAGUAUGUGUUCUGAAAAAAACAAACAAAGCUUUCCAUGGUCACAUAUGUUUGGUAAAUGCUAGGUUGAGUAAUGGUGGACUUAGCUUUGUGACAGACACCCUGCUCAGGGCUGGACCUCCUGAGGACUCUCCUUCAUGUGGGAGGAACGUUGCUCGCAGUCCUGGAAACAGUGGACACUGACCCGCUUUGGCAUCACACUGCCUAACAUUCCACAGGAGUGUCUGCAGAGGGCAAUGUGGAUUACCUUUUGUUUGUGUUUUGUAACAGUUGAGAUCUCAUGCUUCUGUAACCUGCUUUUUCACACACUUGUAUUAUGAACACUUUGCACUUUAAAAAAUAUUUUCCCAAUGAUUGCUUUCCCUCCUUGUUAUUUUUCAAAACGUUCCAUUUAUAAAGGUUCUGUUUCUAAAGCUGGGGCCUAACCCAGUGACAGGUCUUUUCAGCCUUUGCUGAUGGUCUUGAAAGGUUCUGAGGUAUAAAAUGUUUAUGCUCAUUUUGUUUCUGCCUUCCACCCACCCGCUCCGACAAACCUUUAAUUCUGGACUGCUGCUUUUGAAGCUUGUGGAUUCACAGUGCCCAAAACCACAGGUAACUUUGCUUUGGAAAGGCCUGACAAAAAUAGGCUGCUUUUAAUGCAAAUGGCCAAUUUUCUCCUGUUGGUGGGCAGUUCAUGUAAGAAUAGUGUUUUAUUUAUUGUAUUGUAAAAAUAGCCUCCUUGAGAAGAGUGGCCUGCUCCAGGUAACUCUCACAGAUUGGGUUUUCUUCCACCCAGAAAUGAUUACUUUGAUCUAGAAUAGUGUAUUGCUUUCUCAGAGUAUUUUUUUCACUAUGAAAUGGAAAUGUGUAUUUAAUGUUUCUUAAAGCCCUCUAAUGGCAAGUAUUACCAGAACUUUCCUUCAUGGUUGAUUAUCUAAAAUAUUUUUCUUCAGUUAAAGGCAGACAUGUAUUUGCCCCAAAUUUAGACCAAAUUAAAAAUGGGUCUUUAUUUAAAUAUUCGCUUCACCCGUUCUUUAUUUCCUUUGUCACAAAAAUAUCCUUGAAUCUGAGCAUUUAACAACUCUGACCAUUUUUCGUUGUCUAGUUGAAAGUGUUAAGAAUCUGAGGAGAAAUGUAUUUAUCUUUUAAAAUGUAUUUGUCUUAUGAACAAGGGUUUGCCUAAGUUUUGGAGACCUGUGGAAACAAACGCCUUACCCUUUAUUAGUCGUCUCUGCCUAACUGAUCCACAUCUGCUCCUCCGGCAUACACGGUGCGCAUUUUAAAUAUUAUAAACUACGUUGUAAAGUCCUUUCUUUUAUAAAGCUUAUCUGGGCCAGGCCUGGAACACGGUCAUGGACUGUUCUCCUGUGUGGUUCCUGGGCCAGUGCGUUGCUUUUAAAGACUGGAGCUGAAAAGCAGAACGUGUACUUUUGGCAUGGGGAUUCCUUAUAGAGAGUAUGCAAAUUUCCCCAAGGAAAACGGAAUUUGCAUGAAAAAGCUCUCACUAUAAUUAUAACAAUUUCCUCCUCCUUUUUCCUUUUUUUUUUUUUUAAAUUCAGCUUCUCAACGUGCUAAGAUUUUUCCCUUUCCUCCAAGACAGGCCUGCUGAAGGAAUUGACUUCUGAAAGAUCUUAUGCCAGCUCUCUAAAGUAUCUAAAAGGAGACAUCAUAAGGUAAUUGAAACCAAAACAGUGCUGAUGGUUCUCAAAGAAAUUGAAGUGCAAUUUUGAAAAUUUAGUGAUAUAAUCUCCAGUUGCCAUACAUGGAGCUGGAUCCCAAAGAAAGAAGAAAACAGUUCUACAAGCAGAGGGGACAACCGUCAUUCUCCAAGGGGCAGGAUCUGAAUCUUCGAGAGGCUAUGAGGGAGUCAGGCACAUCAUAGCCUUCUUGUGCUUAGGAGCACUAUACAGCACUUGAGCACAUUGCUUGGGGGCCCUUUCAGACAAAAAAAUUGCCAACAAAAAGCACAAAAUUGUGAAAAACAUGGCACUAAACAGACCAUGAAAAGGACACUUGUUUAGGAUGUGAGAGCUGAAACAAGAAGGCAGAGCAGAGCCCUGUUUGACCUCAGCUGGGAUCGUGUGCAUCAGUGGCUCAGCUUUUUUGCAUCUCUGCAUGUCUGCCAAAGUGUUGCUACCAUCGAUUUUGCAGUUACAAAUAAAUUUUGGUAAGUAGGUGAAUUUGCAGACAGUCAGGAUUGACUGUAUAUGCCAAUAUUUCUCUCUGGACCUGAGGUCUAGGUUGAUACCACCACUCUGUGUCUGACCUUCAUUUAGUUGUUUCUCUAUUCUGGGCCUCUGUUUUCUCAUUCAUAGAACAAGCAUGUUGGGGUAGAUUGGUGGCAAUAGUUUCUUUUUUUAUGUAAGAAGUAACUUUUAUUCAUGUAAAAGCCCAGGGUAUAAAGCAGUAGUCAGCUCCCUGCAUCUCUUGUCCUCCACCAAUUUUACCAAAAACGUAUGGAAAACCACUGGGCUAGAUCUCCGAGGCCAUUUUCCUCUGUCCCAUUAGGUUAUAAUUUAUUCAUUUGAGAAAUAUUUAUUGAGC